rnacentral:misc_RNA from 1 species
AGCUAAGGCACCAAGGGACUUGCACUUCUUCAAUCCCUCCAUUAGAAGCUCAUCAUUAACCAUGAAGGAACCUUUGUAGGCAAGGAAAAAUUUGAAAGAGUUGAUACCUUUCUCCUUGACCAUAAUUUCCAUCUCCUCAGAUACAGUUUCAUUCCAUUUUGUAAUUGCCAUGUGAAAACCAUAAUCCAUGCAUGACCUCUUAGCUUUCUCUACAUAAGCUUCAUAACCUGCAGAUAAGCUUCCAUCUACCGGAAUAACAAAGUCAAUAUGCAUUGUUGUUCCACCAGCUAAUGCGGCUGCCUGUCCACUGAAGAAGUCAUCAAUUGUCUCCGAUCCCAUAAAUUCCAUAGCAAGGUGUGUAUGAGGAUCAAUUCCUCCUGGCAUGACA